rnacentral:rRNA from 1 species
UACGUAGGGGGCAAGCGUUAUCCAGAUUUACUGGGCGUAAAGCGCGUGUAGGCGGCUGGUUAGGUGUGAUGUGAAAUCUUCCGGCUCAACCGGAAAACUGCAUUGCAAACCGGCCUGGCUAGAGUGCAGGAGAGGGAAGCGGAAUUCCAGGUGUAGCGGUGAAAUGCGUAGAUAUCUGGAGGAACACCGGUGGCGAAGGCGGCAUCCUGGACCAAUAUUGACGCUGAGGAGCGAAAGCCAGGGGAGCAAACGGG